AAACCAACAGGGAUUGCCUUAGUAGCGGCGAGUGAAGCGGCAAUAGCUCAAAUUUGAAAUCUGGCGCCUUCGGUGUCCGAGUUGUAAUUUGAAGAAGGUAUCUUUGGUUUUGGCUCUUGUCUAUGUUUCUUGGAACAGGACGUCAUAGAGGGUGAGAAUCCCGUCUGAUGAGAUGCCCAAUUCCAUGUAAAGUUCCUUCGACGAGUCGAGUUGUUUGGGAAUGCAGCUCUAAGUGGGUGGUAAAUUCCAUCUAAAGCUAAAUAUUGGCGAGAGACCGAUAGCGAACAAGUACUGUGAAGGAAAGAUGAAAAGAACUUUGAAAAGAGAGUGAAAAAGUACGUGAAAUUGUUGAAAGGGAAGGGUUUAAGGUCAGACUUGGUUUACCAGGCCAGCAUCGGUUUAGAUGGCAGGAUAAUGGCGUAGGAAUGUGGCUUUGCUUCGGUAAAGUGUUAUAGCCUGCGUUGAUACUGCCUAUUUAGACCGAGGACUGCGUCUUUGACAAGGAUGCUGGC
rnacentral:rRNA from 1 species